rnacentral:rRNA from 1 species
AUUGAACGCUGGCGGCAUGCUUUACACAUGCAAGUCGAACGGUAACAGGCCGCCAGGUGCUGACGAGUGGCGAACGGGUGAGUAAUGCAUCGGAACGUGCCCAGUCGUGGGGGAUAACUACUCGAAAGAGUAGCUAAUACCGCAUACGAUCUAUGGAUGAAAGCGGGGGUCCGUAAGGCCUCGCGCGAUUGGAGCGGCCGAUGUCAGAUUAGGUAGUUGGUGGGGUAAAGGCUCACCAAGCCAACGAUCUGUAGCUGGUCUGAGAGGACGACCAGCCACACUGGGACUGAGACACGGCCCAGACUCCUACGGGAGGCAGCAGUGGGGAAUUUUGGACAAUGGGCGCAAGCCUGAUCCAGCAAUGCCGCGUGCAGGAAGAAGGCCUUCGGGUUGUAAACUGCUUUUGUACGGAACGAAACGGCUCUGGUUAAUACCCGGGGCUAAUGACGGCACCGUAAGAAUAAGCACCGGCUAACUACGUG